rnacentral:tRNA from 1 species
AAUUUUUUAGUAUAAAAAGUACAUUUGGCUUCCAACCAAAAAGUCUAAUUUUUUUUAGAAAAAUUA